rnacentral:rRNA from 1 species
AUUGAACGCUGGCGGCAUGCUUUACACAUGCAAGUCGAACGGCAGCGCGGGCUUCGGCCUGGCGGCGAGUGGCGAACGGGUGAGUAAUACAUCGGAACGUGCCCAGCAGUGGGGGAUAGCUCGGCGAAAGCCGGAUUAAUACCGCAUACGACCUGAGGGUGAAAGCGGGGGAUCUUCGGACCUCGCGCUAUUGGAGCGGCCGAUGGCCGAUUAGCUAGUUGGUGGGGUAAAGGCCUACCAAGGCGACGAUCUGUAGCUGGUCUGAGAGGACGACCAGCCACACUGGGACUGAGACACGGCCCAGACUCCUACGGGAGGCAGCAGUGGGGAAUUUUGGACAAUGGGCGAAAGCCUGAUCCAGCAAUGCCGCGUGUGUGAUGAAGGCCUUCGGGUUGUAAAGCACUUUUGGCGGGAACGAAAAGGACUGUGCCAAUACCACGGUUCGAUGACGGUACCCGCAGAAUAAGCACCGGCUAACUACGUG